AUGUGCGAGUACUCAUCUUGGGGUGUCCGGUCCCAGGUCCAGCUGGAGGAGUCCGGAGGGGGUGUGAAAAGGCCUGGAGAGUCUCUCCGCCUCUCCUGCAGAAUCUCCGGGUUCCACUUCAGCGAUUCCUACCUGAGCUGGCUCCGACAGGCUCCCGGAAAGGGACUAGAAUGGGUCGGUGAUAUAAACCCCGAUGGGAGCGAUAUACGCUACCUUGAUUCAGUGAAAGGCCGAUUCACCAUCUCCAGGGAUAAUUCCAAGAGUGAGCUGUAUCUGCAAAUAACCAACCUGGAAUCCGAGGACGAAGCCGACUAUUACUGUGUGAUAGACACAGAGAAACACCCUUCUCCCGGCAGCCGCGCGGGGGCAGCAGUGACAGUCACCCCCCUUCGGGCUUAG